UACGUAGGGUGCGAGCGUUGUCCGGAAUUAUUGGGCGUAAAGAGCUUGUAGGCGGUUUGUCGCGUCUGCUGUGAAAAUCCGGGGCUCAACCCCGGACUUGCAGUGGGUACGGGCAGACUGAGAGUGUCGUAGGGGAGACUGGAAUUCCUGGUGUAGCGGUGAAAUGCGCAGAUAUCAGGAGGAACACCGGUGGCGAAGGCGGGUCUCUGGG
rnacentral:rRNA from 1 species